AGCCAAUACUCCACCUGGAAGAUGCCAUUGAUAAAAACACGGUCUUUUCUGACGUCACUAUGGAGAAAAUUGUUGGUGACCCAAAAGCUGCCCUUGAGCUGAGUGACGUGACGGUGGAAGGCACGGUGAAGCAAGGCACCCAGUACCACUGUUACAUAGAGAACCAGGCUGCUCUCUGCGUUCCUUCAGAGGACGGCCUUGACCUUUACUGCACGACCCAAGCCGCCGACCUCGUCC